rnacentral:rRNA from 1 species
UAGGGAAUUUUCCACAAUGGGGGCAACCCUGAUGGAGCAACGCCGCGUGCAGGAUGAAGGCUUUCGGGUCGUAAACUGCUUUUGUUUGUGACGAUUAUGACGGUAACAAGCGAAUAAGGGUCUGCUAACUACGUGCCAGCAGCCGCGGUCAUACGUAGGACCCAAGCGUUAUCCGGAUUUACUGGGCGUAAAGAGUUGCGUAGGUGGCAAUGUAAGUAAAUAGUGAAAUCCUGGGGCUCAACCCCUUCAACAUUAUUUAAACUGCAUAGCUAGAGUAUGGGAGAGGUAGAUGGAAUUUCUAGUGUAGGAGUGAAAUCCGUAGAUAUUAGAAGGAACACCGAUGGCGUAGGCAGUCUACUGGCCCAUUACUGACACUAAGGCACGAAAGCGUGGGGAGCGAACGGGAUUAGAUACCCCUGUAGUCC